rnacentral:rRNA from 1 species
AGUGAACGCUGGCGGUAGGCCUAACACAUGCAAGUUGAACGGCAGCACAGUAAGAGCUUGCUCUUACGGGUGGCGAGUGGCGGACGGGUGAGGAAUACAUCGGAAUCUACUUUUUCGUGGGGGAUAACGUAGGGAAACUUACGCUAAUACCGCAUACGACCUACGGGUGAAAGCAGGGGAUCUUCGGACCUUGCGCGAUUGAAUGAGCCGAUGUCGGAUUAGCUAGUUGGCGGGGUAAAGGCCCACCAAGGCGACGAUCCGUAGCUGGUCUGAGAGGAUGAUCGGCCACACUGGAACUGAGACACGGUCCAGACUCCUACGGGAGGCAGCAGUGGGGACUAUUGGACAAUGGGCGCAAGCCUGAUCCAGCCAUACCGCGUGGGUGAAGAAGGACUUCGGGUUGUAAAGCCCUUUUGUUGGGAAAGAAAAGCAGCAGGUUAAUACCCCGCUGUUCUGACGGUACCAAAAGAAUAAGCACCGGCUAACUUCGUG